rnacentral:rRNA from 1 species
CCCUUAGAUGUCCUGGGCCGCACGCGCGCUACACUGACAUGUUCAACAAGCCUCCUAGUUCGACAGGAUUUGGGAAAUCUUUGAACGCAUGUCGUGAUAGGGAUAGAUCAUUGCAAUUAUUGAUCUUGAACGAGGAAUUCCUAGUAAACGCGAGUCAUCAGCUCGCAUUGAUUACGUCCCUGCCCUUUGUACACACCGCCCGUCGCACCUACCGAUUGAAUGUUUCGGUGAAGAUUCCGGAUAGGACUUUUUUGAUUUAUUUCAAUUCUGUCUUAAAAGCUAUCUAAACCUCAACAUUUGGAGGAAGGUGAAGUCGUAACA